CGUUGCCCAACCUCUCGCGGCCACCCUGAGCUCCGCUCUCUCGCGCCGCUUUGUCUGAGGACCUUCGACGCCCGAGCCUCGGAGGCGGUCUGAGAGGGGGGUGGCGGCCUAGGAAUGGGCCGUGCCCGAGAGGCGGCUGGACGAGCUUCGUCUGGCGGGCUUCUUGAGGCGCGGCUCUGUGAGGUGGCCUUGGCUCGCGCCUGGCCGGCCACCGCCUCUCCUGGCGCCAUCUCCGCAGCAGCUGUGGGCCCAGCUGUUGACAAAGGCUGCACUGUAAAUCUCGGGUUCGGUCGAGGGCUGGAGUCCAAGCCACCACUCACUAGGCCUCCAGCCUCGCAGUCGUCAUAGCUACACGCAGUGUAAUCAUAAGAAAACAUCAGACAAACCUCAGUUGAAGGAUAUUAUGAGCAAUACCUCACCAGUACUCCUCAAAACUGGCAAAGUUAUCAAGAACAAGGAAAGUUUGAGAAACUUUCAUAACCAGGAGGAGCCUAUGGACGUGUUACAACUAACUGUAAUAUGGUAUCUUACAUGGGAUCCUGAAACAAAAAAAAUGGAUAUAAGGUGACUACCAGAAACUCCACCUAUUCCUCAGUUCAGAGUUGGAUGGGAUCUGACUGCUAACUGUUCCCAGGAGAGCAGGCUCCAAAACCUGGGCAAUGGGAGGCUUUGUGAACAGGUUUGCCACCCUGAACCCCAGCCCCACAGUUUGGGGUGAGAACUUCAGUUUGCAGGACAAGGCAGAAGCUCACAUCUUGCCCACUGAGACCAAUGGAGGGGAUGGGAACAGUUGUGGAUCUUGGCCAGGAUCAUCAAGGGAAUCUGAACUGAAAUGCAUUUGCAGUUUUGUCAACUCAAAACUUGGACAGAGGCUGUGGCCCCAAGAAACCACGUGCUAAAGUAAAGCGGAGCAGUUCUCUUGGCAUCCAAAUCUAUGCAAAUAGCCACAGGAUUUGAGUCUUUAGACACCGCUUGAGAACAGACUAUGGUAAACAGUGUUGUGAAAUGGUGGUGAGGAAGGUGAAAGCAGGAGCUUGGGAAUGGCUCUCUCAAUAGCAAAGGCUGAUGGCCUGAGGCACAAGAAUUUCAGUGUGUUCCUCAUAAACAGGCUUGUGCAACAGUGGCUGCUUGAUAAUAUGAGACAGGAAGUAGCCGUGGAGGAUUUCUCUCCAGGGAGUUAUCAUCUUUCCACAAUGGAAAGAUGGGAAAUGCGUAAAAACAAUUUUGAGGAAUCAGCAGAAGAGAACCAAUAUUUAUUGCACCAGGUGCUCUGACUCUUUACAUCCUUCAUCUUGUUCAGUCCUUACAAUACCCUGCAUGGAAUUAUUAUUCCCAUUUUACAGGUGAGAAAACUGAAGUUCAGAAAGGAUAAUUUGCUCCAGGCAUCACAAUUACUAAGCACUUUCAACAGGAUUUGAGCUCAGGCUAGUCUGAUUCCAAGCCCAGUGUUCUGUUCAUCACACCAUGCUGAGGCCUCUAGGGUAACACCCAACCCAGCAGCACUGUUGUUAACGACCAUCGCCACAGAAAAAGCAUUGACACAGGACCAGAGGACCAGAGGACCAGAAGACGUUUUUCUGGCUGAAGAUUCACCAAUUGAUCAUCAUAGAGAAGGUAUUGUCCUUAACAUCAGAUUCACAUAUGUUCUGCUAAAUUGCAGUUUGUUAUUUGUAUACUGUCUCUCCUUAAAUUAACUGUUUGGUCAACAGUAUAGAGUUCAACCCAGGGUUUAAGCUGAGUCAUUCUUUAAAAGCCUGUGGAAAUGCAGAAACUUCUGGAAAUUUCUCAUCUGCACUUCCAGUUGAGAGAAGCUGAUAACUAACCAGAAAUGGACCUCUAGGAGACUUUGUUCUCCUAAUAAAUAAUCCAUCUUUCCAGUAGAAGUGGCUUUUUAAAGCAACUUUGGUUAUAUUUCUCCCUUGAUUAAAACAUUUCACUGGCUCUUCAUGCACUGAUUCCUAAAUCCAAGAAUGCUUACUAGAAUCAUCUCAGGUGUUUGAUAAAAGGCAUACUCCUGGUUCCAUCCCAAAUAUAUUGGAUAAUAUCGGGGACAGGGCCCAGGAAUCUGUAUGGCUAACAGUCCCUCAGGGGAGUCUGAUGCAGCCUAUCUAGAAGACAAGAGCUGGAAAAUCCCUGGUUCCUAGAUAAAGUCCAGGGUCUCUGGCACGUAUGCCAGAUUUCCUGCUCUGAGCUACCAGCUUCUCUUGUUUCUUCUCUAGCCACUACCACCAGUGUAUCCCACACUCCAGCAUCACCUAAUGCCCCUGUUUCCAAUGUUCCAUGUGCUUUCACACCUCUGUGCCACUCUCUGCCUCCAAAACCUCUCUCUCUUAUCUGCCUCCACGGAAGACUCUUCUCAUCCUGUAGGAACCACCUCAUGUUCCUCACCAGAUGAACUCCUUCUGCUCAUUUCUUUUCAGAAUUUUAAGUUGCUUAUUUGGGAACAUAGACUGUAGAGCCAAACAGGGUCAGGCUUUACCUUGUUUGUCACUUCCUAACUCUGUGACUUUACUGUUGAAUCUGUGUCCUCACAAAUUGUGAAAGAUAAGUAUGCAAAUAUAUGUGAAUUGUAGAGACAGUGCCUGGUGUAUGGUCUCUAGCAGAGUUAGCUAUCAGAAUGGUAGCUUUUAUUAUUAUUACUGUUGUUAUUAUUAUUUGUUUUGCAUAUUAUUAUGACAUUUCUCUAACACAGGGUUCAGCAAACUACAGACUGUGAACCAAAUCUGACCAACUGACUGUUUUUAUAUAAAGAACGUUUUAUUGGAACAUAGCCACAAUCAUUGAUAAAUGUAUUGCCUAUGGCCAUUUUUGCAUUAUAAGGGCAGAGUUGAGUAGCUGAGACAGACUCUAUCUGACUCAUAAAGCCUAAAAUAUUUACUAUUUGGCUUUUUACAGAAAAAGUUUGCCUACCCUGUUCUAACAUAAUUACAAUUACUUGUUUGCAAGUUGGUUUUUCCCACUUGACUGAUAGCAACUCAGUGGUUUUCAUGGCCGACUCUUGCUUAUCCUUUACAACCCAGUCUUUCUCAUCUUUGGAUCCCUGGCACUUGAUACAUAAUUAGUGUUUGACAGAUGUUGAAUGGAACCAAAUAACUCCUUAACCCAGUUGAAAGGCACACAUCUCCAGAAAAGCCCCUGAGGGGAAAGAGGGCAAGACUACCUGCAGGACCAGGGCUGAGUUAAUAGAGAUAUACAACUUGGAGAAACCAGGGACAUCUGGGAAGUAAAAUCAGGCCUUCAUGGGAUGUGAGACUUUUGCUGCAGCCUUAGUUCUGGGUUCCUGGCUCAGGGAGGCCCUGCUCUCAAUGCACCAUGAACAGUCUCACUCCCUCCUACCACCUGACCCCAGCACCCUGAGCCUUGCGGUUGGAAUAGUUUCGCUGAUGGAGAGGAGAGGAAAAGCCACUUCUAGGAAAUUCUCUUCUGAAAGUUAGUAUAGUCCCAUUUUCCAAGAGAGCAUAAAUGGUUAGUCCAAAUGGUCUGAUGACCCUCACAGUCCUUACAGUGGGCAAUUUGAUGUACUCAUUUUUAAUAAAUGAACUGAUUGAUAUUUUUUCUAUGUAGAUUUACUUUUUUUUUUUUUCUUUUUUUUGGUUUUGACUCCCCAUGAAUUUGCCUUUACUGAGCAAAGCUCCUCUUGGAAGAGAACUAGGAUUUCAAAGCAGUGGGGCCAUUUCUUUGUGAGCUGAUUAUGAAACCACUCUGUGACCUUGGGCCAGUCAUGCCUAUCUCUGGGCCUAGCUUUCGGCUUCUGUACAAUGACUUUCAGACUUUUGACUCCCUGGAGUUCUGGCCAAAGGGAUGGCUUCCCCUAAUUCAUGGUGACCAAAAGCAGUGGCCUGACCACAGACAGCUUGAUAGAGCUUCUUUCUUCUUCCAUGCCUCUGUGCUACAGUAGUGUAAUCUCCUACCUUCCCCCAUUCCCCACAAAUACAACAAUUCACUCCUACUACCCUUUCUUGAGGCUCGAAGGAGACACUUUAGCUCUGAAGCAAGUCCUCAGAAGAUAAGAAAAUGCCACUGAUGUGGUUGGAAAAGUCUGAGCUGGAUGGAGUGGAAACACAGAGCUCUCCCCUGAGGCUGGAUGAGAAGUGCAUGGGUAGAAGCCAAGUCCAUCCUUUCCUUGAGCCUCUGGGAGCUGGCAGCUCAUUGCCUCUCUCAGAAUGUAGUGCCCCCUUAUCCUUCACCCUUCUUGUAGAUACCCCCAUGGGUAUAACUGCUGAGCCUGCAGGAUCCUGGUUA